UCUGAUAAAUGAGCAAAGAAAAUGGUUUCUUGAGAUGGAAUCUACUCUUGGUGAGGAUGUUGGGAA
rnacentral:pre_miRNA from 1 species